GUUCCUUCAGAAACAUCUGAUAAAAUUGAAACGUUACAAAGAAGAUUAGUAUGACCCUCGCACAAAAGGAUCACACACAAAUCGAGAAAUGGUCCCUAGUCAU